rnacentral:lncRNA from 1 species
GUAUUUCCGCCGGCGCGAAACGAGCGUAGCUUCCUUGUCGUGUGGCCUCAGUCCUUCGCCGUCCCUCGCCGUCCUUCGCCAUCGCACGCCACCGCACCCCAUCUCUCGAAAUCUGCAGACAUCUUGAUUUUUCCCACGCUGUCUGUCAGGUCUCCGCCGCCACUCGACGCCAGGGCGCCGGGCCUUGUGGGCUGUGCUGCACCUCGGACGGCUUCGCACCAGCCAGCGCCCUCUCUCUCCUGCAGCACUCUGAUCUGCACCCCCUGAGGGGCUUCCACUGUCCGCGGGGUGAGAAUGCCCCUGGGAGUGUCACAUGACUGCCGCCCCAUGUGUGUGAGAGGCGUCCUCUGGGAGAGCAUGGAUCCUGAGGUCCCAGGAUUGUCAGCUGACCUCUGUCCUGUGUGCCCAGUGGCCCCAGGUGACGUGUCUUCAAGAAGAGGCUGAGCUGCGGUGCUUGUAAGAGUCAUGUGCUGUUCCUGGGGCUUGGAUGAUGUAGGGGAAGCAAGGUGAAAGUGGUAUCCCGUGGUUCCACGUUCUGUCCUGCUGUGGGGCUGUCCCUCACAUGCUUUCAGUGGCUGUUGCAGAGGAAGAGCCUCCGGAAAUCUGCGUGGGUAAAGUCUCAGCCUUAGAUCCAAGGACAGUCCAAGGAAGUCCUAAGACCAUGGAGUUGGUGAUCUGGGAUCUGGGUUUGCUGAUAUUUCUCACCGUGAAUCUCUUGGUGGUGUUUGUGGGCACGAGAGGGGCAGAGAAUGGAGAGUGAGGCUACCACAUGAAGCGUCACCAGAGCUGCUCCCUGCUGCCUGCUCAGAGCACCCCGGAUCCACUGUUCAAUCUGCACAAGAUUCGGGGUCCAGACAUGGGAGACUUCAGCUGCCUCAGAGGACCGUGGACAGGGAAGGCCAGCCUCGCAUCCCUCUGUCCAUGCCUGGAAUGACUUUAAUAACCAAGAGUUUUAUUUUUGAAUUUGUAGCUGUCGUUCACUUUUUACCCACCCAUUCAAUAAACCUUACAGAAUUGCUCCA